GCCGGCGUGAUGGAAUUGGUAGACUUGACGGACUCAAAAUCCGUUGGUAGCGAUACCGUGUGGGUUCGAGUCCCACCGCCGGCACCA
rnacentral:tRNA from 1 species